rnacentral:rRNA from 1 species
UACAGAGGUCCCAAGCGUUGUUCGGAUUCACUGGGCGUAAAGGGUGCGUAGGUGGCCCGGUCAGUUCGUGGUGAAAGCGCGGGGCUCAACCCUGCGUCGGCCAUGAAUACUGCCGCGGCUGGAGCACUGUAGAGGCAGGCGGAAUUCCGGGUGUAGCGGUGGAAUGCGUAGAGAUCCGGAAGAACACCGGUGGCGAAGGCGGCCUGCUGGGCAGUUGCUGGACACUGAGGCGCGACAGCGUGGGGAGCAAACAGG